rnacentral:rRNA from 1 species
UAAGGAAUAUUGGUCAAUGGACGAAAGUCUGAACCAGCCAUGCCGCGUGAAGGAUGAAGGUCCUCUGGAUUGUAAACUUCUUUUAUCUGGGACGAAAAAAGGGAAUUCUUUCUCACUUGACGGUACCAGAAGAAUAAGCACCGGCUAACUCCGUGCCAGCAGCCGCGGUAAUACGGAGGGUGCAAGCGUUAUCCGGAUUCACUGGGUUUAAAGGGUGCGUAGGUGGGCAGUUAAGUCAGUGGUGAAAUCUCCGGGCUUAACCCGGAAACUGCCAUUGAUACUAUCUGUCUUGAAUACUCUGGAGGUAAGCGGAAUAUGUCAUGUAGCGGUGAAAUGCUUAGAUAUGACAUAGAACACCGAUUGCGAAGCAGCUUACAGGAUCAUUGACCAUGAGGCACGAAA